rnacentral:rRNA from 1 species
ACUCAAAUGAAUUGACGGGGGCCCGCACAAGCGGUGGAGCAUGUGGUUUAAUUCGAUGCAACGCGAAGAACCUUACCUGGACUUGACAUCCUCGGAAGCCUAUAGAGAUAUGGGUGUGCCUUCGGGAACCGAGAGACAGGUGCUGCAUGGCUGUCGUCAGCUCGUGUCGUGAGAUGUUGGGUUAAGUCCCGUAACGAGCGCAACCCUUGUCCUUAGUUGCCACCGGGUAAUGCCGAGCACUCUAAGGAGACUGCCAGUGACAAGCUGGAGGAAGGUGGGGAUGACGUCAAGUCAUCAUGGCCUUUAUGUCCAGGGCUACACACGUGCUACAAUGGUGGUUACAAAGGGAAGCCAAGCCGCAAGGCGGAGCAAAUCCCAUAAAAGCCAUCUCAGUCCGGAUUGGAGUCUGCAACUCGACUCCAUGAAGCUGGAAUCGCUAGUAAUCGCGGAUCAGCAAUGCCGCGGUGAAUACGUUCCCGGGCCUUGCACACACCGCCCGU